rnacentral:tRNA from 1 species
AUGGAGAUCUCUGUAAAUUUUAGAUAGUAUAGGGGCGGAUGUAGCCAAGUGGAUCAAGGCAGUGGAUUUGUGAAU